UCUCUUGGAUUACUUGUCUUUUCAUAUUGGUACAUGAGAGUUGUUUCUAUAUCAAGGUAAUUGGUAUUUCUGUCAUGGGCUAUCCCAGGCUGAAAGCAUUCUCCC